UGAGCGAUUGUGUGCAUUACGCACCUUGGUAUGAAUCAACGCUUCUGAUUGGUCGAACAAGUUGUGAUUGUCGAAUCAGAUUUUAGAAAACAAGUGACCGGCUAGUUUGUACUUCCGUAAACAACAACAACAAAAAAAUUCUCAUCAUGAAGUUUCUGCCCGCGAGGCAAAAUACCAAAGACCUAGAGAAACAAAGCAAUGUUGCAAAUAUUUGGCGAUUGCCGUCCUUGAAUGAAAUUAAUUCCGAGGGGUUAUUAUGGGGAUAUUUGGCUACGGAAACAUGGGAAAUCGGCGGCACAAAUCGACCCGCACGAAGUACCCAGACUAUACCCAGAAUAGAUACACCCAAAUAAAAGGCAAAUAUAGUUGUGUAGUUUGGUAUCAGAAUAGAUUGACGUAUUGCUUGUAGGACAUUGACGGCUGAGGAACUUGAAAUUAACGGUAGAGUGCUACCUUUAACAUGUAUGAGUGUGACAAUUUCUAUGACCAUGAAAAUACAAGGAAGAGUAAUUCGGACAAGUUAACAGAUCUGUAUAUCUGAACUAAAAGUACUGAAAUGAUUGCUGAUGCAAACCCUGUUGGUUAGAUUUUCUAUCAAGAGUUUGUCCAAAUAAUACUGGUUAACUUAUGUCAGGUGAUGAAAAACCCUCUGGCACUGAAUAUUCAAAAGGAAAUUUUGCAUCUAAAGAAGAACAAUGCUAUGUUCUUGCUAAGAUUGGUUUGAACAAUGUAAAAGAUUAUAGAAUAACACACAGAAUAUUAAGACAAAGGAAAAUUUCUUUAUUCCGAAAAGUACAAACAAAUGAAAAAAACUGUUACACUGUUUUGUGCCUGGAUAGUGUGAUAUUAGCUAUAUCAUAUUUCAUAGAAAAUAUUGUGGAUGAGAAGUUGUUUGCUGUUGGACAUAUGUACAAUAACAGAACAAGUACAUCCUUUUUGUGAUGUUGGAUGCCAUCUCAUGAUCUGUUAAGAAUGAAAACUGAAGAGGAUGUUCAUGUUGUUUCUUGUAGAUAAGAUAAUUGAAGAAGUGUUUGUUAUUCAAACUGAAAAUACAAUUUUUAAAGUUAGUUGUGUUCCAUAUUUGUUCAAGUGACUGGCGUAUUUUAGAUUGCAUCAUUUGAAUCGCAGUUUGAGACAGUAAAAUAUAAGUCUAAUAUUACAAAAUACAACUUUAAUGUGACAAUUAGUGUUAAUUAUUAUAGGUACAAUCCCUGUGGUAGUGAUUUACGGGUCACUUCUUCAAAUCUGUCUUAUAUAAUAGAUACUAAAAUGAUAUGUUAACUAAAAAGUAUUGAUUUUGGAUACAAAUAAAUUCAGAUUCUUGAA